CCUUUCCAAUAGCAAAACUAAUAAUACUCAUUGUAGGGAAGUUGGAAUGGCAUAGAAUUAUGAAGUUCUUUCACUUUAAGAAAGUGGAUUUAUCUAUAAAAAUGUUUCAAUGACCUGUCUUUUUGUUUUGCAGGCAAAGCCAAAGAUUAUUGAGCCACUUGACUAUGAAAAUGUCAUUGUCCAGAAGAAGACUCAGAUCCUGAAUGAUUGUUUGAGGGAGAUGCUGCUUUUCCCCUAUGAUGACUUUCAGACUGAUAAUGAUCUACAAACCACUGACCUGGAGAGGAAACCAAGCCGGGCUACUUUACAAAAGGCUGGAAGUCUCUGAUCUCAUUUCCCUUCUGUCCUUUUGAAAAGAAAACUUUUUUUUAAACUGUGUUUUGUCCUUUCUUUUUUAUUAAAAGCUGCCAAAAAAUAAUCUCAGUACUUUUGUUUUUGGCCUUUUAUUGAAAAGUGCUCUUUUUAUAAAUUCCUCGAAAUUUUUGUCACUUGGAAUUCAGUGGUCAGCCAUGUAACUUUCCAUGAACAUUGUGGUUUCUGGGAUAUUAGUUCAUGUCUAGGAUUGAACCUACCCAGAAUAUCUGG
rnacentral:lncRNA from 1 species